rnacentral:rRNA from 1 species
GACGAACGCUGGCGGCGUGCUUAACACAUGCAAGUCGAACGGAAAGGCCCUGCUUUUGGGGGAUUCUCGAGUGGCGAACGUGUGAGUAACACGGGAGUAACCUGCCCUUCUCUUUGGUAUAACUUCAGGAAACUGGGUCUAAUACCGGAUAAGAGCUCCUGCUGCAUGGUGGGGGUUGGAAAGUUGCGGCGGUUGGGGAUGGACUCGCUGGUUAUGAGCUUGUUGGUGGGGGAGUGGCUUACCGAGGCUUUGACAGGUAGCCUGCAUGAGAGGGUGACCAGCCACAUUGGGACUGAGACAGGGCACAGACCCAUACGGGGGACAAGAGGGGGGAAUAUGACACAGUGGGCUGGAGUGAGACACAGACGCGCCGUGUGCGGUGUGACGGCUUGGGGUGUAAAAACCGCUUUCGCGUGACACGACGCGUGAGUGACGGUAACGAGUAAAGAAGCACCGGCUAACUACGUG